rnacentral:tRNA from 1 species
GUCUGGCUAGUUCAGUCAGUACUGCAUCAGACUUUUACUCUGAAGGUCCAGGGUUCAAAUCCCUGGUCAGACC